UAGGGAAUAUUGGUCAAUGGAUGCAAGUCUGAACCAGCCAUGCCGCGUGCAGGAAGAAGGCCUUCUGGGUCGUAAACUGCUUUUGCCAGGGGCUAAAAAGCCCAUGCGUGGGAAAUUGAAAGUACCUGGUGAAUAAGCCACGGCUAACUACGUGCCAGCAGCCGCGGUAAUACGUAGGUGGCAAGCGUUGUCCGGAUUUAUUGGGUUUAAAGGGUGCGUAGGCGGCGCCAUAAGUCAGUGCUGAAAUAUCCCGGCUUAACCGGGAGGGUGGCAUUGAUACUGUGGUGCUUGAGUGUAGUCGAGGUAGGCGGAAUUGACGGUGUAGCGGUGAAAUGCUUAGAUAUCGUCAAGAACACCGAUAGUGUAGACAGCUUACUAGGCUACAACUGACGCUGAGGCACGAAAGUGUGGGGAUCAAACAGG
rnacentral:rRNA from 1 species